UGUCCUUGAAUCUCUGCAUGGUCC
rnacentral:piRNA from 1 species